rnacentral:rRNA from 1 species
UGAAAAGGGAAACAACCCAGACCGUCAGCUAAGGUCCCAAAGUUAUGGUUAAGUGGGAAACGAUGUGGGAAGGCUUAGACAGCUAGGAGGUUGGCUUAGAAGCAGCCACCCUUUAAAGAAAGCGUAAUAGCUCACUAGUCGAGUCGGCCUGCGCGGAAGAUGUAACGGGGCUCAAACCAUACACCGAAGCUACGGGUAUCACUUCGUAUGAUGCGGUAGAGGAGCGUUCUGUAAGCCUGUGAAGGUGAGUUGAGAAGCUUGCUGGAGGUAUCAGAAGUGCGAAUGCUGACAUGAGUAACGACAAUGGGUGUGAAAAACACCCACGCCGAAAGACCAAGGUUUCCUGCGCAACGUUAAUCGACGCAGGGUUAGUCGGUCCCUAAGGCGAGGCUGAAAAGCGUAGUCGAUGGAAAACAGGUUAAUAUUCCUGUACUUCUGGUUAUUGCGAUGGAGGGACGGAGAAG